UACACAUAACAAAUACAUAUGACAUUUGGGAAGAAGACUACCAACUCAGCGAGUUCUUCGACUGCUGCAGUUUCGCAUUGUAUGAACCUUCUAUGUCAUCCUGCAAUCAGGAGUUCAAAAUCGUGUUGAUUCGACGAAGAACGAAGGAUGGCAAUUCAGAUGUAGGAUAAUCGACUUUUACCUUGCAAGAUUUCAGAAGAGGUUCCAAGAACGAGGAUCUGAAAAACCUGACGGA
rnacentral:lncRNA from 1 species